rnacentral:rRNA from 1 species
GACGAACGCUGGCGGCGUGCUUAACACAUGCAAGUCGAACGAUGAAGCCGGAGCUUGCUCCGGUGGAUUAGUGGCGAACGGGUGAGUAACACGUGAGCAAUCUGCCCUUGACUCUGGGAUAACUGCGGGAAACUCUAGCUAAUACCGGAUACGACACCUUGGGGCAUCCCAGGGUGUGGAAAGAAUUUCGGUCAAGGAUGAGCUCGCGGCCUAUCAGCUAGUUGGUGAGGUAAUGGCUCACCAAGGCGACGACGGGUAGCCGGCCUGAGAGGGUGACCGGCCACACUGAACUGAGACACGGUCCAGACUCCUACGGGAGGCAGCAGUGGGGAAUAUUGCACAAUGGGCGAAAGCCUGAUGCAGCAACGCCGCGUGAGGGAUGAAGGCCUUCGGGUUGUAAACCUCUUUUAGCAGGGAAGAAGCGAAAGUGACGGUACCUGCAGAAAAAGCACCGGCUAACUACGUGCCAGCAGCCGCCGUAA